UCUCUUUCCAGCUUCUCCUUUUCUUGGAUCCACGCCUGUCUCCUCCCACAGAACGAGAGAGAGAGAGAGAAAAAAAAAGGUCACGUAUGUUUGGAAAAAUAUGUAGGUCAGUGGAACAUUCCCUGCACUUGUGCAAACGGAGCCGGGGCGGGAGAGCUCCUCCGCAGCCCUCUCGCUGCCCACCUCCCGGCCCGACCCUCCCCGAAGCCCGGGCGCUCGGCGGCGGGGAGGGGGCAGCCAGGAGCCGGGCUCCCUCUCCCCUUCCCUCACCCGUUUCGCGCGCCCAGCCGGGCUCUCGGCCGCGGGCUCCGAGCUCCGGGGAAGGCGGGCGGGCGGCGGAGGGAGCCGGCGCGGGCGAUCGGCCGCCUCCAGCCUCCGGGCCCGCGGCCGCCCAUGGGCGCGGGGCGCCGGGCGCGGCCCCCCAGCGCCGGCGGCUGAGGGCGGGGGGGGGGACGGCGGCCGGGGGAUGGAGGCGGCCGGGGGGGGACGCCCCCGCCUCGCCCGCCGGGCUCCAACUUCGCCGCCAACUCCCGGCCCCGCGGCCCCCGCGGCCGCCCCGCUUCUCCCGGCCGCGCGUCUAACUUAAUGCACCAGCGGCAGCCCGAGCCAGCGGCCCCCCCGGCCCCCGGCCUCCCGGCCCCCCCGCGGCAGCCCGGGCUCCCGGCGGCCUCCCGCUGCCGGCGGAGCCCCUGGCCCCGGCGCGCCCGGCUCCCGCGGCGCCCGGGGCGGCGGCGGCAGCGCGGCAUGCGGCGGCCCCGCGCACCAUGAGACACGGCACCGGCCCCGGCAUCGGGCGCGAGGCGGGCGGCGUCCCCGGCUCCUCGGCGGCGACCAAGAGUUUGCCGGCUCCCGAGCCCGGCCUCCUGCGCGCCUGGAGCAGCGGCGGCCGCUGCCGCAGCGGCACCGGCAGGCAGCGGAGAAGCGGCGGCAUCCAGCCCGGCGGCACCGGCACCCAGGUGGCCACCGCGGACAGCAGCAGCGGCGGCGGCGGCGGCGGCUGGGGCUUCCCCGCCGCGCUCCCGCAGCACCGGCAGCCCAGUUUAUUGCAGAAAUAAUAAACACACUGUGCUGCACAGAGUCAAAUUGACGCACGUGAUCUUCUGCAUUAUUGGUGGC
rnacentral:lncRNA from 1 species